CCACGGGGGGCUGCAGUGAGGAAUAUUGGUCAAUGGACGCAAGUCUGAACCAGCCAUGCCGCGUGCAGGAAGACGGCUCUAUGAGUUGUACACUGCUUUUGUACGAGGGUAAACGCAGAUACGCGUCUCUGUCUGAAAGUAUCGUACGAAUAAGGAUCGGCUAACUCCGUGCAAGCAGCCGCGGUAAUACGGCGAAUUCAAGCGUUAUCCGGAUUUUUUGGGUUUAAAGGGGGCGUAGGCGGUCGGAUAAGUUAGAGGUGAAAUCCCAAGGCUCAACUUCGGAAUUGCCUCUGAUACUGUUCGGCUAGAGAGUAGGUGCGGUAGGCGGAAUGUAUGGUGUAGCGGUGAAAUGCUUAGAGAUCAUACAGAACACCGAUUGCGAAGGCAGCUUACCAAGCUACUUCUGACGUUGAGGCACGAAAGCGUGGGGAGCAAACAGGAUUAGAUACCCUAGUAGUC
rnacentral:rRNA from 1 species